rnacentral:rRNA from 1 species
AUGUCCAUCGUGCAGAAGCUCACCGGCCUUGAGAGCGCCGCCGCGUCAGCGGUCACCGGCGCCGCGCAGGACGAAUCGUCGUCGUCGUCGACGGAGAGCUGCGCCAAUGCCCACGCCAGUGCCGUGCCGCCGCCACCGCCUCCGCCCCAGUACAUGGAUCCACCUCAGCUAAUGCCGCCGCCGGCGCAGCUGGAUCACGCGCACUUCAUGCCGGACAUGCCGCUGUUCGCGCCCUCGGAGCAUCAGCAGCACAUGCUCUGCGCCUCCAGGGGCGGCCUCUACGGCCACUUCGCGCCCACGGUGGAAGCCGUGUCGCUCGGCGGCCUGGCGAACAUGCACGACGGCGCCGCCUCUGUGGGGGUGUUCUCCCCGUCCAUGGUGGAGGCGAUGAGAACGGCAUAUCCGGAUUACCAGUUAACUUAA